CCUACGGGAGGCAGCAGUGGGGAAUUUUGGACAAUGGGCGCAAGCCUGAUCCAGCCAUGCCGCGUGCGGGAAGAAGGCCUUCGGGUUGUAAACCGCUUUUGUCAGGGAAGAAAUCCUUUGAGCUAAUACCUCGGAGGGAUGACGGUACCUGAAGAAUAAGCACCGGCUAACUACGUGCCAGCAGCCGCGGUAAUACGUAGGGUGCGAGCGUUAAUCGGAAUUACUGGGCGUAAAGCGUGCGCAGGCGGUUAUGCAAGACAGAUGUGAAAUCCCCGGGCUUAACCUGGGAACUGCAUUUGUGACUGCAUAGCUCGAGUACGGCAGAGGGGGAUGGAAUUCCGCGUGUAGCAGUGAAAUGCGUAGAUAUGCGGAGGAACACCGAUGGCGAAGGCAAUCCCCUGGGCCUGUACUGACGCUCAUGCACGAAAGCGUGGGGAGCAAACAGGAUUAGAUACCCUGGUAGUCCACGCCCUAAACGAUGUCAACUGGUUGUUGGACGGCUUGCUGUUCAGUAACGAAGCUAACGCGUGAAGUUGACCGCCUGGGGAGUACGGGCCGCGAAGGUUGAAACGUCAAAGGAAUUGACGG
rnacentral:rRNA from 1 species